GCGCCCUGCCUACCUGAUGACAGGAGCAGAGCAGCUGAGGAAAUGUUUAUGUCUGUAUGCAUACCACACAUAUCACCCAGGUACAAGUGAAGCUGCAGUGGUCAUGUAUGCCGUGUACUGAGAUGUUACAAUUUGGUUAACUAAGGUGAGAGUAAUUAACACCUUAUUCUGUGCCAGGUGGAAUUCAGAGGAGACAGGGUGCAGCUAAUUAGGAUUAGAAACCAACGGGGUUAGGUGGAGUAGAAGGGAGCCUGGAGUGACAAGGCCUCUAAGUGGAGAUAUGUGAGUGACGAUGACUGGGCGAGGCUGACCAACUGUUCUGAGGAUGGGGAGUUCUGGGUGUCAUUUUCUGACUUCCUGCGCCAAUAUUCUCGCCUUGAGAAAAUGUCAGUCUGGGUCUUGUGUUCAACUUCAAUCAAUGGAUAAUGGAGAAAAUGAUUCCUAUAAGUUGGAUUUUCCACAAACAACAAUCUCCCACAGAUAAGAAUCUGUUCAUUCAAUGUUCAAUAAAAGUAUCUGUUUAAUGCAGUA